GAGCGGGCUGGUAGAUGCUGCCUCUCAGCCUCCAGUGUGCUCUUUGGCUGGGAGACUGGGGGGCGCUGGAAAUAUUGGAGGCGCUGGUGCCUGUGAUGUCGCCGCCUCUGUGACGUCCCUGCCGCGACCCCGCAGGCAGGGAGCCGCAUUUAGGUUCCGGGCGGGCGGGCGGGCAGGCGGGGGACGGCCCGAGUGAGGUGUCCUCCGAAGGCUGCGGGCCCGAAGCCAGAACCCCUCUCCAAAGACCUCGGGAGUAGGGCUCGCGCUUCCGCUGCGGGCCCAGAGCAAGAGGCAGGCGGCAGGGAGAGGCUGUCGAUGCUGAGGCACGAGAGAAUUUGCUCCUGCUCCUCCAGAGAAAAUGGCUGGGACAGGCUGUUCAGGAAUAAUUCUGCAGGGAAAAGUGGAAGAAAAUGGCUGUGAAAGACUGGGAGGAGGCUGGCUGUGUUUUCAGGGGUUCUUCCUGCACAGUCUGUAGAAGCUGAGCUGCUGGGGAAGGGGCUGGAAGAAAGCCCACACCGCAGCUGCUGCAGUUCCUGCUCCGGGAAGGUUGCUUUCCGCUCUGGUGAGCUGGGGUUUCUGGCAGGGGCUGGCUCCAGGGAAGACAGAGGUGUCAGUAGCAAAUUGAAAAACUACAGAAUUAGUUCCAGAGGACUUUGUUAACAAGAAAGAGAAGAUUGAAAAAAGCCCUGGGGCUACACCAACUCAAGAGCUCCUAGGCAAAGUGGCGUCCUGGACCCACCAUCUCUCCUACCCUGUCCUCAGUCAGUACUUCCCCAGGCACUGUGGGUUCUGGUGCGGGGCGAGUUCAACCCUGGGACCACCCUCAUCCUUAUAACUACCAGCUGUCUUUGGUGAGGUGCAAGAUCUCUCUGGUUUUAUUUCAUUUUCAUUCCUAUAAUCACGGCCUUUUUGUGCCCAUCCCUCAGGUGACGUUCUAUUGUGUUUGAUGUAUCAUUUUUAAUUGGGUUGUGUUCUUGCAAAAUGUGUGUUGUUUUAUUUAUCGAUUUUUAUUUUUGUAUUUUUUGU